AUUGAACGCUGGCGGCAGGCCUAACACAUGCAAGUCGAGCGGAUGAAGGGAGCUUGCUCCUGGAUUCAGCGGCGGACGGGUGAGUAAUGCCUAGGAAUCUGCCUGGUAGUGGGGGAUAACGUCCGGAAACGGGCGCUAAUACCGCAUACGUCCUGAGGGAGAAAGUGGGGGAUCUUCGGACCUCACGCUAUCAGAUGGGCCUAGGUCGGAUUAGCUAGUUGGUGGGGUAAAGGCCUACCAAGGCGACGAUCCGUAACUGGUCUGAGAAGAUGAUCAGUCACACUGGAACUGAGACACGGUCCAGACUCCUACGGGAGGCAGCAGUGGGGAAUAUUGGACAAUGGGCGAAAGCCUGAUCCAGCCAUGCCGCGUGUGUGAAGAAGGUCUUCGGAUUGUAAAGCACUUUAAGUUGGGAGGAAGGGCAGUAAGUUAAUACCUUGCUGUUUUGACGUUACCAACAGAAUAAGCACCGGCUAACUUCGUG
rnacentral:rRNA from 1 species